rnacentral:rRNA from 1 species
CUAGGGAGACUGCCGGUGACAAACCGGAGGAAGGUGGGGAUGACGUCAAGUCCUCAUGGCCUUUAUGUCCAGGGCUACACACGUGCUACAAUGGCGCGUACAGAGGGGACGCCAAACCGCGAGGUGGAGCAGACCCCCAGAAAGCGCGUCGUAGUUCGGAUUGCAGUCUGCAACUCGACUGCAUGAAGUCGGAAUCGCUAGUAAUCGCGGAUCAGCAUGCCGCGGUGAAUACGUUCCCGGGCCUUGUACACACCGCCCGUCACACCAUGGGAGUAGAUUGUACCAGAAGCGGCUAGCCUAACCUUCGGGAGGGCGGUUACCACGGUAUGGUUUAUGACUGGGGUGAAGUCGUAACAAGGUAGCCGUAGGGGAACCUGCGGCUGGAUCACCUCCUUUAAAGAAAAGGGUCUAGACCCCACACACGCCACUCGGUAAGGAAUUGGGCCUAUAGCUCAGCUGGCUAGAGCACACGACUGAUAAUCGUGAGGUCAG